rnacentral:ribozyme from 1 species
AGUGUCCCUCCUUCCUUCCCUCCCCUCCCGCGCUUCCCGCCCCGCC